GUCAGCAGUCUCAUGUCGUCCUCGUGGCAUGGAUGUAUCGAGGUGUUCGCACACGCCGGAAGUCGAGAGUAUAUUAAUUUGUUGAAAAUAUUCUUUCACCAGGACGCUGUGUGAUUCCGAGAAAAAAGAUCUUCGGACAUUUCCGAUAUUUAUUUAUAUAUUUGUGCCCUUUGAUAUUACAAUCAUAAAAUCUAAAAUGAAAUUCACCUCCAAUUAUGAAUUCAAAAGUUAUGUGGCUUAACAAUUCAACAAUUAAGACAAGGACCAAAGGUUCUCAUAAGUCAAAGGAUCAGGCUAGAUCUUGUUAUAAUACGAACAUUGUUUUGGAAUGUACUAGAUCUACUCCAAAUCAAAUGAAUGUAUAAGCCACUGGAUAAUAAGUCCUGAGUCUAGUCUUUUUAUUUUCUAAUACGUUUAAUGGACUUCCUGAUUUGCCUUUGCAUUAUUGACGCCAACGCACAUGGAUACUGACACAUUUUUUUAACGAAUUUUUUUUUUUGCAAUGACUUUCAUUUUAAUUUGAAAAUGCUUGGUGGCUCCAUAGCUUGGCUUUAACAAAGUCUACGAUGUCUAGUACCAUUACGGCUUGUUGAAUAGUGAGUGGCUAAAGAUAAUUGAAAAAUAUCAUGGCGUAGGUGUCAACAGGACUGGCAUUUGUCAGACAUGACAGAGCCGAUUAUCUCCAGUGCCAACGAGACUACAGACCUGGAGUUUUUAAACCUUCACGACGCCUCAGCCUAUCGGUGGAUCUUGUGGGUCCAGACAGUUUUGGAACCGUUUAUUAUUACAUUAGGUAUAUCUGGUAACAUCCUGGCUACCAUCACGCUGCUGACCAAGGAGCUCAGAUCAACUUCCUGCUGCCUCUAUCUAACUGCCAAAUGCAUUGGGGACGCCGUGUUUCUGCUGUCUCUCUUUAUCGUCUGGCUCUAUCGAGUAGGUGUCCGAGUCAUUAACAACACUGGUAUA